rnacentral:rRNA from 1 species
GGACCCGCACAAGCGGUGGAUGAUGUGGAUUAAUUCGAUGCAACGCGAACAACCUUACCUACCCUUGACAUGUCUGGAAGCCUGCUGAGAGGCGGGUGUGCCCGAAAGGGAACCGGAACACAGGUGCUGCAUGGCUGUCGUCAGCUCGUGUCGUGAGAUGUUGGGUUAAGUCCCGCAACGAGCGCAACCCUUGUCCCUAGUUGCUACGCAAGGGCACUCUAGGGAGACUGCCGGUGACAAACCGGAGGAAGGUGGGGAUGACGUCAAGUCCUCAUGGCCCUUAUGGGUAGGGCUUCACACGUCAUACAAUGGCCGGUACAGAGGGUUGCCAAGCCGCGAGGCGGAGCCAAUCCCAGAAAGCCGGUCGUAGUCCGGAUUGCAGUCUGCAACUCGACUGCAUGAAGUCGGAAUCGCUAGUAAUCGCGGAUCAGCAUGUCGCGGUGAAUACGUUCCCGGGUCUU